GCUAAACGCGAAGAACCUUACCACCUUUUGACAUGCCCGGACCGCCACAGAGAUGUGGUUUUCCCUUCGGGGGCUGGGACACAGGUGCUGCAUGGCUGUCGUCAGCUCGUGUCGUGAGAUGUUGGGUUAAGUCCCGCAACGAGCGCAACCCUCGCCUCUAGUUGCCAUCAUUAAGUUGGGCACUCUAGAGGGACCGCCGGUGGUAAGCCGGAGGAAGGUGGGGAUGACGUCAAGUCCUCAUGGCCCUUACAGGGUGGGCUACACACGUGCUACAAUGGCGACUACAGAGGGCUGCAAACCAGCGAUGGUGAGCCAAUCCCAAAAAGUCGUCUCAGUUCGGAUUGUUCUCUGCAACUCGACUCCGUGAAGUCGGAAUCGCUAGUAAUCGCGAAUCAGCAACGUCGCGGUGAAUACGUUCCCGGGUCUUGUACACACCG
rnacentral:rRNA from 1 species